rnacentral:misc_RNA from 1 species
GAUGAAGAACGUAGCGAAAUGCGAUACGUAAUGUGAAUUGCAGAAUUCAGUGAAUCAUCGAAUCUUUGAACGCAUAUUGCGCUCUCUGGUAUCCCGGAGAGCAUGCUUGUUUGAGUAUCAGUAAACACCUCAACUCCCUUUUCUUUUUUGAAAUGGGAGCUGGACUUGAGUGAUCCCAACACUUUUCUCACUGGAAAGUGGCGGGUCACUUGAAAUGCAGGUGCAGCUGGACUUUUCUCUGAGCUAUAAGCAUAUCUAUUUAGUCUGCCUAAAAAACAGAUUAUUACCUUUGCUGCAGCUAACAUAAAGGAGAUGAGUUCUUGUGCUGACUGAUGCAGGAUUCACAGAGACAGCUUUGCGGCUGACUUUGUAAACUCGAUCUCAAAUCAAGUAAGACUACCCGCUGAACUUAAGCAUAUCAAUAAGCGGAGGA